CUAACAGCCAUUACUAAAACAGAUGAAGACUACGCUGACAAAGUGUAACGAACGUCGUCGGGAGAAGGAGAGGAGGACCAAAGUGCAGCGUGAAGCCACAACGUUGAAGGAGAAGUAAGACUGGCAGUAAAUAAUCCAGUAUUUUAGGAUGCUGGUGGUCUUCCUGGUGGGUAACUGAGGACCAGAAACAUGGGGUUUGAAGGCUCUCACUACAUAACUCCAUAUCUGUUACAUUGAGACAAACGACCAAGAAGAGAGAAACAUGUUUGAACUGUUGGAGAUGCUUUUAAUGAAAUGUAAAAUGAAGGAAAACAACAGGAAAGCAUUUCACAUAGUAACUUGCAUUCAAUCAGAUGAAGUACAGUGAGCUACAAAAGUAUUGGCACAGAGACAUCUUUUGUUGUUUUGG